rnacentral:rRNA from 1 species
UGGGGAAUAUUGGACAAUGGGCGCAAGCCUGAUCCAGCAAUGCCGCGUGUGUGAAGAAGGCCUUCGGGUUGUAAAGCACUUUUAUCAGGAGCGAAACGCUGUCGGCUAAUACCCGGCGGAACUGACGGUACCUGAGGAAUAAGCACCGGCUAACUUCGUGCCAGCAGCCGCGGUAAUACGAAGGGUGCAAGCGUUAAUCGGAAUUACUGGGCGUAAAGCGUGCGUAGGCGGUUUCUUAAGUCUGCUGUGAAAUCCCCGGGCUCAACCUGGGAAUGGCAGUGGAUACUGGGAGGCUAGAGUGUGUCAGAGGGUGGUAGAAUUCCCGGUGUAGCGGUGAAAUGCGUAGAGAUCGGGAGGAACAUCAGUGGCGAAGGCGGCCACCUGGGACAACACUGACGCUGAGGCACGAAAGCGUGGGGAGCAAACAGGAUUAGAUACCCUGGUAGUCCACGCCCUAAACGAUGCGAACUGGAUGUUGGUCUCAACUCGGAGAUCAGUGUCGAAGCUAACGCGUUAAGUUCGCCGCCUGGGGAGUACGGUCGCAAGACUGAAACUUAAAUGAAUUGAC